ensembl:ncRNA F54A3.10 ncRNA
UUCAUCCAGUCGUCGUCGAGGAAUUUGGUGCUGAAAAAUUAUGUUUAAGCUUGGCUUUCGGGGCUACAGAGUAGUAUUUUGACCUCUAAAAACGACAAAAACUAUAGGUUUCCCGCAAUUUUCAGAGAUCAAACAGCAAAUAGACCUCAA